rnacentral:antisense_RNA from 1 species
AUUAGAUUAAGAGGCAAUACAGAUCAAAAGAAAUGAUGAUUUUAGGUGAAUGAGUUGCGCAACAAAAGAGAAAGACUGAAAUAUUGAUAAUCGUUGAGGUAGCGUAUUGAAAUAAUGAAUAUUCUAGAAUGGUGCGUCCGAGUAGACUCGAACUACCGACCCCCACCA